CAGUAGCCACGGUAAUACGAAGGGGGCUAGCGUUGCUCGGAAUUACUGGGCGUGAAGCGCACGUAGGCGGACUCUUAAGUCAGGGGUGAAAUCCUGGAGCUCAACUCCAGAACUGCCUUUGAUACUGGGUAUCUUGAGUAUGGAAGAGGUGAGUGGAAUUCCGAGUGUAGAGGUGAAAUUCGUAGAUAUUCGGAGGAACACCAGUGGUGAAGGCGGCUCACUGGUCCAUUACUGACGCUGAGGUGCGAAAGCGUGGGGAGCAAACAGGAUUAGAUACCCGCGUAGUCCCUGUCUCUUAUAU
rnacentral:rRNA from 1 species